GAUGAACGCUGGCGGCGUGCCUAAUACAUGCAAGUCGAGCGAACAGACGAGGAGCUUGCUCCUCUGACGUUAGCGGCGGAAGGGUGAGUAACACGUGGAUAACCUACCUAUAAGACUGGGAUAACUUCGUGAAACCGGAGCUAAUACCGGAUAAUAUAUUGAACCGCAUGGUUCAAUAGUGAAAGACGGUUUUGCUGUCACUUAUAGAUGGAUCCGCGCCGCAUUAGCUAGUUGGUAAGGUAACGGCUUACCAAGGCAACGAUGCGUAGCCGACCUGAGAGGGUGAUCGGCCACACUGGAACUGAGACACGGUCCAGACUCCUACGGGAGGCAGCAGUAGGGAAUCUUCCGCAAUGGGCGAAAGCCUGACGGAGCAACGCCGCGUGAGUGAUGAAGGUCUUCGGAUCGUAAAACUCUGUUAUUAGGGAAGAACAAAUGUGUAAGUAACUAUGCACGUCUUGACGGUACCUAAUCAGAAAGCCACGGCUAACUACGUG
rnacentral:rRNA from 1 species